UUUGGAAUAUUUUUAGAAGGAAUGGUACCAGCUCUUCUUUUUACCUCUGGUAGAAUUCGGCUCUGAAUUUCGUUCCACUCUCCCCAUCACUUUCAGGUACACCAACCAAAGGAAAAACAUCCAGGCAAGUGGACAGCAUUUGCAUCAGCCCAGCAAUAAGAAGGACCAUAUUCUACUUGGGAAAAGGUAAAGUCAUUUCAUAUGGAUGGAGCCUGCCAGGAAACCUGUCAUUCAACCCUUCGCAAUAAAACAGCUCCUCAUGAAUGAAGCAAAAUAAAUCAGAAGUUGUGGGCUUUUAAACUCACUAAAUGAAAGCCCAGCAUGCAUGCAGCCUCCCUCCAAAUUAAUCACCAGAUUAAAUGCAAGAUGUGCACACCAAAUCAAUAGCUUGUGACACAGACCUCCUGCCUGUGCUUCAGGAAAAUUCCAUUUCCUUUCAGAUGUUGUCGCUUGAAAUGUCAGGAAGUUUCCAUUCAUCACCCGCCCUUGAAAAUGCCACCAUCACCAUACUUCAUGUUUCCUUGCUUUCUUUCUUCAGAGGAAUCCAAGCACCUUGCAGAGGGAGCCCACUCCUUGUCACAG
rnacentral:lncRNA from 1 species